rnacentral:rRNA from 1 species
AUUGAACGCUGGCGGCAGGCCUAACACAUGCAAGUCGAGCGGAUGAAGGGAGCUUGCUCCUGGAUUCAGCGGCGGACGUGUGAGUAAUGCCUAGGAAUCUGCCUGGUAGUGGGGGAUAACGUCCGGAAACGGGCGCUAAUACCGCAUACGUCCUGAGGGAGAAAGUGGGGGAUCUUCGGACCUCACGCUAUCAGAUGAGCCUAGGUCGGAUUAGCUAGUUGGUGGGGUAAAGGCCUACCAAGGCGACGAUCCGUAACUGGUCUGAGAGGAUGAUCAGUCACACUGGAACUGAGACACAGUCCAGACUCCUACGGGAGGCAGCAGUGGGGAAUAUUGGACAAUGGGCGAAAGCCUGAUCCAGCCAUGCCGCGUGUGUGAAGAAGGUCUUCGGAUUGUAAAGCACUUUAAGUUGGGAGGAAGGGCAGUAAGUUAAUACCUUGCUGUUUUGACGUUACCAACAGAAUAAGCACCGGCUAACUUCGUG